ACGCGAAGAACCUUACCAGGCCUUGACAUGCUGAGAACCUGCCAGAGAUGGCGGGUGCCUUCGGGGACAGCGGUGACAGGUGGUGCAUGGUUGUCGUCAGCUCGUGUCGUGAGAUGUUGGGUUAAGUCCCGCAACGAGCGCAACCCUUGAUCUUAGUUGCCAGCAUUCAGUUGGGCACUCUAAGGUGACUGCCGGUGACAAACCGGAGGAAGGUGGGGAUGACGUCAAAUCAUCAUGCCCCUUAUGACCUGGGCUACACACGUGCUACAAUGGACGGUACAAAGGGUUGCCAACCCGCGAGGGGGAGCCAAUCCCAUAAAACCGUUCUCAGUUCGGAUUGCAGGCUGCAACUCGCCUGCAUGAAGCCGGAAUCGCUAGUAAUCGUGGGUCGACGCGGCCG
rnacentral:rRNA from 1 species